rnacentral:rRNA from 1 species
AAAUUGAAGAGUUUGAUCAUGGCUCAGAUUGAACGCUGGCGGCAGGCCUAACACAUGCAAGUCGAACGGUAACAGGAAGCAGCUUGCUGCUUUGCUGACGAGUGGCGGACGGGUGAGUAAUGUCUGGGAAACUGCCUGAUGGAGGGGGAUAACUACUGGAAACGGUGGCUAAUACCGCAUAACGUCGCAAGACCAAAGAGGGGGACCUUCGGGCCUCUUGCCAUCAGAUGUGCCCAGAUGGGAUUAGCUUGUUGGUGAGGUAACGGCUCACCAAGGCGACGAUCCCUAGCUGGUCUGAGAGGAUGACCAGCCACACUGGAACUGAGACACGGUCCAGACUCCUACGGGAGGCAGCAGUGGGGAAUAUUGCACAAUGGGCGCAAGCCUGAUGCAGCCAUGCCGCGUGUAUGAAGAAGGCCUUCGGGUUGUAAAGUACUUUCAGCGGGGAGGAAGGUGUUGUGGUUAAUAACCACAGCAAUUGACGUUACCCGCAGAAGAAGCACCGGCUAACUCCGUGCCAGCAGCCGCGGUAAUACGGAGGGUGCAAGCGUUAAUCGGAAUUACUGGGCGUAAAGCGCACGCAGGCGGUCUGUCAAGUCGGAUGUGAAAUCCCCGGGCUCAACCUGGGAACUGCAUUCGAAACUGGCAGGCUUGAGUCUUGUAGAGGGGGGUAGAAUUCCAGGUGUAGCGGUGAAAUGCGUAGAGAUCUGGAGGAAUACCGGUGGCGAAGGCGGCCCCCUGGACAAAGACUGACGCUCAGGUGCGAAAGCGUGGGGAGCAAACAGGAUUAGAUACCCUGGUAGUCCACGCCGUAAACGAUGUCUACUUGGAGGUUGUGCCCUUGAGGCGUGGCUUCCGGAGCUAACGCGUUAAGUAGACCGCCUGGGGAGUACGGCCGCAAGGUUAAAACUCAAAUGAAUUGACGGGGGCCCGCACAAGCGGUGGAGCAUGUGGUUUAAUUCGAUGCAACGCGAAGAACCUUACCUGGUCUUGACAUCCACGGAAGUUUUCAGAGAUGGAUUGGUGCCUUCGGGAACCGUGAGACAGGUGCUGCAUGGCUGUCGUCAGCUCGUGUUGUGAAAUGUUGGGUUAAGUCCCGCAACGAGCGCAACCCUUAUCCUUUGUUGCCAGCGAUUAGGUCGGGAACUCAAAGGAGACUGCCAGUGAUAAACUGGAGGAAGGUGGGGAUGACGUCAAGUCAUCAUGGCCCUUACGACCAGGGCUACACACGUGCUACAAUGGCGCAUACAAAGAGAAGCGACCUCGCGAGAGCAAGCGGACCUCAUAAAGUGCGUCGUAGUCCGGAUUGGAGUCUGCAACUCGACUCCAUGAAGUCGGAAUCGCUAGUAAUCGUGGAUCAGAAUGCCACGGUGAAUACGUUCCCGGGCCUUGUACACACCGCCCGUCACACCAUGGGAGUGGGUUGCAAAAGAAGUAGGUAGCUUAACCUUCGGGAGGGCGCUUACCACUUUGUGAUUCAUGACUGGGGUGAAGUCGUAACAAGGUAACCGUAGGGGAACCUGCGGUUGGAUCACCUCCUUA